GUUGUCUCAGCCAUAUGAACCCGACUUCAUGUCCUCGUGUUUUCCCUGUGCCUUUUUGUUUCUUUGCUUGUUCCUGGUGUUUUUGGUUUAUUGCAUUUGGAUUUUUCAGUUCAAAGAAAGUUUUUGUUGUUUCAGUCUUUUGUUUGAUUAAAAACUUUAAAGUUCAGGGUCUAAAGUGAGGUUAAAGUCCAUCUUUGUUUUGAUAAAGUGAUCAGAGUGAUGGUGAAAGAUUGAGACGUUGAGAGUGAAAGUCGGUCUCAACAGGAUGUUUCAGUUCCUCUCCCCUCAUUAUUGAGAGUCAGGAGGUUUUUGUACGGCCAUGUAUACAAACUGAAUCACUGUGGUAUUCGGACAAGGAACCAAGCUGAUCGUCCCAAGUAAGUUCUUUAAAAAUCAUUGUUCAACCUUCUUAUUGUCUGUUUCUGAUUCCUGUUUGAUGAAACUCUUGAUUUGACUUGUUCAAAACCUUCAGUGGUAUUUUAGGACACAUUUCUCUGCUUUAAAAUCCAGUUUAGAAACAGUCCUGAGCUUUGCUGUAAUCAUCAAAACAAGAUGAAUAUUCUGUAUCUGACUGAAAUCGAUCUAAAAUCAUCUUUACGUAUGUUUCUGUUUAUUUUGAAUCACUGAACUUGUUCAAUCAAAUUCAGAUGGAUUAGUUUAGAUCGUCUUCAAAAGCUGACGUGAUUUCAUGCAAAGAUAAAAAAUCCAAAUGAAGAGAAUAUCUUUGAUAUUUACUGAAAAAAGACAAAAUAUUUAAUGGUUGAUUUUAUUUUUUUAAGUUAUAUUUUUAAGUUUUAAUGAAUCAUUUCAAUUUGAAUGGUGCGGUCUUUGUCCUAAACCAGUCAUUGAAAUAAUUCUGUAUUUUAUAAUGUGUUAAAACUCAAAGACUGUGAUUCUUAUGGAUGAACAAAGUCUGUCUGAGUGUUGAUGUCUGGAUAUUAUCUUUGCUGCUGAAAAAAAAGUGUUUUAAAAUCCUGUUGGUGGAAAAUAAGUGAGUUUUUCAUUUUGAUGAUCUCCAACUUCAGAUCCUAUUUUGUUCGACACUGAGGGAGACUUUAGGAAACUGUUUCAACCUGAACCUCCAAGUGACAGAUCAAGUCCUCUUGUUAUGAUCUUGAGUACGGGGCUUGUGUUUUCAUCAGCGUGUUGUUAUCAUGUCAAAUGAUCAAUAAUUGAAUAUUGAUGAUUUGUGUGUGUUUGUGUGUUUCAGGCUCCAGCCUCUCUCCUCCCGUCCUCACAGUCUUCCCUCCGUCCCGUGCUGAGCUCCAGUCCAACAAAGCCUCUCUGCUCUGUCUGUCCAGUCAGUCUGUGCCUUUUGCAGAUGUGAGCUGGUUGGCUGCUGGGAGUCCAGUGAGCAGUGGGGUCUCCACCAGCACGGCUGUUCGGAAAGCGGACCAGACUUUCCACAUCAGCAGCUCUCUGUCCAUCACCCCCUCUGAGUGGACCACGGGCAAAGUCUUCACGUGUAAAGUGUCUCUGGACUCUCAGACUUCAGAGAAAGAGAUCAGCAAGUCCAGCUGUCCCUCUGCAGAAGAGUAGAGGAGCACAGAGAGCAUUUCCAACCUGCUUCUUGACUCUUUGUGCUCUUUGCUCAUUACAAGCUUCACAUGCUAGAAAAGAUGAGUCUGCAUGCUCGGAGCUAAUGUUGAGACAGUUAGCUGGAGGAGUCGGAUCAGCUUUGCUGCCGCUGCUGCUUUUAUCAACAAUCUUUCAAUAAAACAAUUGAAAGCCUGCAAAUCAAAAA